GAAGGAGGAGGCAGCCAGAGUGGCCACCACAGCUCUCUGCAGCAGAAGACCCCUUGCUGCCCUGCCGAACCCAGCAUUUGCCAGGUUUGCUGUUCACCUUCUGGAACAAUUCAGAAUUCCCUGCUGAUCUGCAGAAGGGGCCAGUUUUGGGGAUCUGUGGCUCCAUGGAUGCAGAAAAUGCCAUUGAUGUGGAAUGCAAUAGCUUACACAGCAGUAAAAGGUUUUAAGGCUUCUCUCCUUGCUUGAGCAAGGAGAUAAGCCAUGGAGCCCUUACAACUGGAGGAGGUGGAAAGGAACAAAAGGAAUGGAGCAAGUAGCUACGUCUGCUGCCCUGGAUUCUUGGAGGAAGGACAGGUUUAAAAAUAUAUGUAUAAUUCCUGACCAGCUCUGUAGUUUUCAUCGAAAAGCCACUUUGUCUUUUGACUGGGUUACAAUUGUUUGAAGGCCUAUUGGCUAAUACCAGUGAUGUCACCAACCUUUCCACCUAACCCCUAGAGCAGUUUUGUUUUAAAAAUCUUUUGAAAUUAUUGGAGAGAGGAGGAUGUGCACAUAUGUAUACAUGGGCACAUAUAUCAUUCACUUCCACAGCAUCACCCCAUGAUUUGAUGGAUUAUUCUUUGUAACAAAACAUUCUCAGUAGGCCCUUCAUCAGUACUGGAACAAAGA